UUUUUGCAGACAUUUUGGCCAAGAGAUUGAAAAAAUAUUGAUGAAAGAGAUUCAUAAAGACCAAGCGGGCUUUCUCCCGGGAAGACACCUGUCUGAUAAUUUGAGGAAUAUAAUUGAUAUUUUGGAAAAAUUAGAAGUGAAUAUAAACACCAAAGCAGUAUUGAUAUUUGUUGACGCGGAGAAAGCUUUUGAUAAUAUCUCUUGGAGUUUUAUGAAGAAGAAUCUGCAUGGGAUGGGGGUAGGCCAAGGUUUUGAAAAUGGUAUAGGUGCAAUAUACUCUGAACAAAAGGCUAAAUUAAUUGUAAAUAAUGUGGUUACGGAAGAAUUUAAGAUAGAAAAAGGGACACGACAGGGGUGCCCAAUUUCCCCACUGCUUUUUAUAUCGGUCCUGGAGGUUUUGCUAAAUAUGAUUAGAAAGGACCGGUUGGUUAAGGGCAUACAGGUCGGAGCUAAACAGUACAAAUUGAGAGCAUUUGCAGAUGACCUAGUAUUGACGUUACAGGAGCCAGAAUCUAGUACUAAAAGAGUUUUAGAAUUAAUUCAGGAAUUUGGUCAGGUGGCAGGUUUUAAAUUGAACAAGUUAAAAACUAAGGUUUUAGAGAAAAACUUAACACCGAUUGAAAGAGAGAGGUUUCAGAAUGAGACAGGAUUGAAUGUGGUAAAGAAAGUGAAAUACUUGGGGAUUAAUAUGACAGCCAAAAAUGGGAACUUAUUU